rnacentral:rRNA from 1 species
UACGUAGGGGGCAAGCGUUGUCCGGAAUUAUUGGGCGUAAAGAGCGUGUAGGCGGUCCGGUAAGUCGGCUGUGAAAGUCCAGGGCUCAACCCUGGGAUGCCGGUCGAUACUGCCGGACUAGAGUUCAGAAGAGGCGAGUGGAAUUCCCGGUGUAGCGGUGAAAUGCGCAGAUAUCGGGAGGAACACCUAUGGCGAAGGCAGCUCGCUGGGACGUUACUGACGCUGAGACGCGAAAGCGUGGGGAGCAAACAGG